rnacentral:tRNA from 1 species
UAAGGAUUUAAGUUAUUUAAACUAUCAACCUUCAAAGUUGGAAAUAGAAUAAAGGUUUCUAAGCCUU